UACAGAGGUCCCGAGCGUUGUUCGGAUUCACUGGGCGUAAAGGGCUCGUAGGUGGCCAACUAAGUCAGACGUGAAAUCCCCAGGCUUAACCUGGGAACUGCGUCUGAUACUGGAUGGCUUGAAUUCGGGAGAGGGAUGCAGAAUUCCAGGUGUAGCGGUGAAAUGCGUAGAUAUCUGGAGGAACACCGGUGGCGAAGGCGGCAUCCUGGACCGGUAUUGACGCUGAGGAGCGAAAGCCAGGGGAGCAAACGGG
rnacentral:rRNA from 1 species